GUAGGCCGCCACAGCUCUAGUGAUUUUGUUCACAGUGAUUAUCUCUGCCCACCCUGUGCUUUCUCUGCUUGCAGUGAUCCACCCGAUCUCCACGCCCAAACGCUGACAAUACUAGCCUUCAUUUGGAGGCUGGUCUUCUCAGCAGCUUUUUCAGUCGCAGCACAUGCUCACUUCUCUCCCCUGGCUGCCUCCCUGCCUCAGCUCCUGGAUACCUUGGAUCAUCCUCGUCUGGCUUUAUCUCUGUCUCACUCGGACCACUUACCCCUUCCACGCCAGUCCUCCACCUGCAACAAUUGAGCCUGUUUACCUGGUUUGGCCUUUGGCCGUGACAACAGUGACUUCACCCACUGACAUCAAUAAGACUUCUUUGAGAGAUGAGUGGAGUCGCCCUCUGCUGGCUAGUUGUCUUUGUCCCACUGCAAAUCAUAACUUUGUUUUUAUAUAGCAGCAGUACAUAUAAGUUUUUAUACAAUUAUACGAUUAUUUCUGUUUAAAAAUGUGCUGCCCUUUAACAGUUUCCAUAUACUGUUUUGUGUUAAAUCAAACACUCAUUUCCUGUUGAAUUUAUGUGUUUGUGACAAAGUAAAGCACGCUCUUUUAUGGAAGAUGAAAUAUUGCCUAUUGCAGUGUGAGGAUGCCUUCUGCAGGAGGUAAUAAAUGAGUUAAAGAUGUUGCUUUCGUUGACAGCAAGCUCUUAAUUAAAGCAGUAUGGGAUAAUGAGAGUUCACCUCCAUUCAGGCAUGCUCUGCACUAAACUCAGCUGACACAACAGAAAAUUCACAUGCAACCUUAGACCUAGGGGACAAAUUACUCUGGCACCGGCCAGGCAGGGACUGUGCAGGAAGGCGAGCAGCAAAUCAAUAGAGUUUUAUAGACCUGAAUCACAUCUAAGUGUUCCUCCUUAGCUCCGUUACUUUCAUUCAUCUUUCUGUCUUAGCCUGUUCAGUAGAGGAGUGAAAUGACAAAUUUUCAGACUGCUGUGAUGGAUAUUAUUGUGUUUUUUACUCUCUGUUAGUUGAUGUGAUGUCUCUGUUCUUACUAUUACACCUGUUUUUAUGCUUGAUACGAACCCACUUCAUGUUUCUCUGCAGAGUAUUACGUUACAGACAAAAAGUCAUUGGUGGAAAGUUUAUGUAAGAAGUCUGUUUAAAAUUUGGGCUGAACAAAACUAAUGGCUGCCACCUGUAGGUAGAAUUGAUAACUUAUGAUUUCUGGUAAAAAGCACUCAACAUAGUAGCAGGAAGCUUGCAUACAAUAUCUAAAAUGUUGCAAAACAUCAGAAAUGAAAAAUAAGUCUAAACCCAGUCCCAAGAUCAUUUGUAAAGAACAUUGCUAGCAUAUGUGAGAAUGGCUUUAAGAUGUACAAGGACAUGGUGGCAUGGUAUUUUUCAUCAUUUAUUGU